GUUCCGCACCCACGAUUUAUAUAGCCUCUGAGUUCAUCAAAUGCAAUAUAUAGGUACAAUUACUUACAUUUUUGAAUCUAACAUUGCUGUGAAGGACGGAAGCACCGAGUUGUAAGGAGUCAUCGCCGGGGAUAAAUUGGAGUUUUGGGACCCGAUUUGUUGCGGGGAUCUAUUGCAGAAUUCUUCAUGACAUGAAUUAGUUGUGGUACUGGUACUAGAGAAGGCGGACUUUAAACUCCUCCCACUGUUAUGUCAUUAUCUCAAAAACUGUGGAUAAUUUUUUAAUGAAAUUUUCCUGAAAUGACUUUUAAGAAAUGUACUUUAAGGAGGUCUAGCGUGCAUUACGGAACACGCUCUGCGAGAGUAGAAAUUCCCCAAAAUGUUGGAAGCCGAUUUUUCAAUCGCAUAUUUUAGAUACUU